rnacentral:lncRNA from 1 species
UGUGGUGGGCUAGUUGACCCAAGAAGAUACUAUUGGGCCAGUGGUUUGAGGCCUUAUUUGGAUGGAUUUGAUUCGAUUCGGACUUGGGAUUUGACCCAAGAUUUGUUCCGAACUCGGGAUUUGACCCGGGUUGUUUCAUAUGGUAUCAAAGCCGACUCUCGAAAGCUCGGGUCGGGUCAUCCGAUCGGGUUGCCGGAGGUGGGGACACGAAGGCCGGUGGUAUUAUCCCACAAUGGAGAGAUGAAGGUCCGGAGGUGGGGACACGAAGCCAGCAGGUGUAUUAUCCCACAAUGGCUAGAGAGGCAAAGAUCUUUGGGCCGUGUGUGAUCGGUUCUGACGGGGACGUCAGAAAUUUAAGUGGGGGAGUUUGUAACACCCCAGUCCCAUAUCGAAAGAUAGAGGGAAAAAUUUGUCUGCAUAUAAGGAAAUAAGGUUACUACCAAUAGUACCUUCAAGUCAUG